GAUGAACGCUGGCGGCGUGCCUAAUACAUGCAAGUCGAACGCUGGAAAUCUAGCUUGCUAGAUUGAAGGAGUGGCGAACGGGUGAGUAAUACAUAAGCAACCUACCCACGAAGACUGGGAUAAUCUCUGGAAACGGGGACUAAUACCGGAUAGGUAAUCGGAAGGCAUCUUCUGAUUAUUAAAGGUUAAAAACACUGGUGGAUGGGCUUAUGGCGCAUUAGUCAGUUGGUGAGGUAACGGCCCACCAAGACGAUGAUGCGUAGCCGGCCUGAGAGGGUGAACGGCCACAUUGGGACUGAGACACGGCCCAGACUCCUACGGGAGGCAGCAGUAGGGAAUUUUCGGCAAUGGGGGAAACCCUGACCGAGCAACGCCGCGUGAGUGAUGACGGCCUUCGGGUUGUAAAGCUCUGUUGUAAGGGAAGAACGGUAGAUAGAGAAUAUCUAAAUGACGGUACCUUACCAGAAAGCCACGGCUAACUACGUG
rnacentral:rRNA from 1 species